rnacentral:rRNA from 1 species
AACGAACGCUGGCGGCAGGCCUAACACAUGCAAGUCGAACGCAUCCUUCGGGGUGAGUGGCGCACGGGUGAGUAACACGUGGGAAUGUACCCUUUGGUUCGGAAUAACGUUUGGAAACGAACGCUAAUACCGGAUGAGCCCUACGGGGGAAAGAUUUAUCGCCAAAGGAGCAGCCCGCGUCUGAUUAGCUAGUUGGUGGGGUAAAGGCCUACCAAGGCGACGAUCAGUAGCUGGUCUGAGAGGAUGAUCAGCCACACUGGGACUGAGACACGGCCCAGACUCCUACGGGAGGCAGCAGUGGGGAAUAUUGGACAAUGGGCGCAAGCCUGAUCCAGCCAUGCCGCGUGAGUGAUGAAGGCCUUCGGGUUGUAAAGCUCUUUCGCACGCGACGAUGAUGACGGUAGCGUGAGAAGAAGCCCCGGCUAACUUCGUGCCAGCCGCCGCAGUAAGAC